rnacentral:lncRNA from 1 species
UACGCUCACUAGAACAUACUGUAUAAAUUCCGCGAAGUUCCGUUUUAAAACGAGAAAGUUAUGAUCGAAUUCUUAUGAUCAAAUUCGUAUGAGAAGGGUUAAAAGCGUCAACAAUGAAAGUUAAGGCUUUCUGAAUAAUUAAUAAACUAACCGGGGACUUAACAACGCGGGUAAAUAACACGAGGUCCUUAGUUGUAAUUAACCGAGGGCCAAACCGCAAAGUUACCCCUUCAAACCCGAAAGGUCAGGUUAAUAAUUACGAAAGAUUUCGUUAUUAAUUACCAGAUUCUCGUCAUCAUUACAAAAGAUUUUAAAAACUUGAAAAUCUAACCUCUCGCGACCCGCAUUAGAGUUUGGGUUAAGUGAAAGCGGGCCGCGAGCCUUCUAAUUAUACGCGCCUGGAUUUAAACUUCAGGCGGCCCGCGUUAAAACAUGCAUGGAUCCUCCAUGCGGGCCGCAUGAGACGCCCAGAUGCAGAAAGUUUGUAAUUGCAUGCCUUUUGAGCUUGUGAACGAUCAAACAUCAAUAAAUGAGGCAUGGGCACCCUAUACUCGACCCAUAGCUCUAUGGGACACCUGCCCAUCAUCCAUGAUCAGUUGUAGGGGUUGUGUAAUGAUCAUAGGUGCCUUGUUUCACUAUAAAUAGCCACAUUUGGUUCAAAACUAUCACACAACUCAAUUACACUCAACUGAUCAUUCUAAGAAGCUCUCAAGCAUUCUUCUAUGCUCUCUAAGCAAGACACAACUUCUGUAAGUCGUUCACAUCCAUUGUGGUCUUGUUUUUCCAUAGAUUUAGCUUAUAAACCCAACCGUCGUAACUAACGGUUGUCAUAGCGAUAAUUCACAAAUGGUCCAGUAAAUUGUCGGAUCAAAAGUAGUUAUGAGUUGGUAUUUAUGUGGGUAAUAAACCC